rnacentral:tRNA from 1 species
GCCUGGCUGGCUCAGUUGGUGGAGCAUGUGACCCUCCAUCUCAGGGUUGUGAGUUCAAACCCCACGCUGGGUG